rnacentral:lncRNA from 1 species
AAAAGAAAUAAAAUUUAGCCAACUUUAUUUUUCUCAAGCAUGACAUCUCUGCUUUUUGUAUGUCAUAGUCUCUGGCAUGGAGCUUGUUUAAGAGAUGACAUCAGGAGCCUCUGGUUCAGAGAAAUAUUGAGUCUUCUCUAAGAACUUUCAGUCAGCCUGCACUCCGGAAACCAAAUAUGACCUCUUUUCACUCUGACAGGAGAAAACUCAUUUUCCCCUCAACUGUGGCAUCUUGUGCUGUAAUGGGCCAUGUAAGGACCAACCAAACACCGCUGACAACUGAAGAUCAUGGACAGUGCCUACUAGUCUUUCUCAGUAAGCAUCUUCUGAGGAACAUGACUUACCUUCUCCAUUCUCAAGAAGGUACUUGGCCUCAUGACCUGACUGGCUCCUUGUCCAACAGGAAGUUGAAAGGUUUUCUAGUUACAGUAAGAAUAUCUCAGGUUGUAUGUGUCAUCUUAGUGCCAAAAAUUUACUGUUCCAAUCAUUCUUUUGGAAAUUCAGCCCACUUUUUAAAACACUUUUGUUAUAUUGGAGUAUAGUUGAUUUUCAAUGUUGUGCUUAUUUCAGGUAUACAGCAAAAUGAUUUAGUUAUACAUAUACAUCUAUUCUUUUUCAGAUUUUUUCCCUUUAGGUUAUUAUUGGCAGUACAGUACCCUGUACUAUACAGUAGGCCCUUGUUGAUGACUUAUUUUAUAUAUAGUAGUGUGUGUAUGUUAAUCUCAAACUCUUAAUUUGCAUCCCAUCUUUUCCCUUUAGUUACCAUAAGUUUGUUUUCUAAUUCUGUGAGUCUGUUUCUGUUUUGUAAAUAAGUUCAUU